ACAGAGAAGUCAAAGAAAAGUGUCUCUGUCAUAGUGGAACUUCUGGAACACUCGUGCCAGAUCCUGGAAACACAGGACUAUCAAAAACUCCCAAAAAGUUACAAAAGGAGUUUGAUGGUUUAUAGAGAGGGAUACUGUCUUUCAGGCUCUCUGCAUGCUGCCUUUGAAGCUGGUAUCUUCCUUCUUGUUAUAUCCAAAGAAUUUUAAAUGUAAUUGGAAUCUAGACUGAGAGAACAAUUUUAUCUCUAUUUGUGCAGUAACUGACAGAGUGACAUCAGUCCUGAGAUUUCUCUGAUGGUUGGUGUGAUACAAAUGAGCCAAUAAUAGAAACUCAUUUUAAAACAGAUCAGGCACCUAUUACCCAAAAAGUUUGCUGCCAUCCAUCCAAUCUGUUCAACUUUUAAUGCUGAAUGUGAGAAGAGAAAAAGGUCGUUCCUUGUGGCUCUAAACCCAGCAGCACAGGGACCCAAGCCUUGACCUGCUAUAACACCCAGGAGGAGAAAAACGUUGGACAAUUGUCUUAAUGUUUCAACCACCAGAAAACCAGCUGAGAAGCAAAUGAAGUUGGAGAGUCCUGGAAGCUGCAUGACUGAUCUAUCAAGACUUCCACUGUACUUGAAAGGUCCAUGGGUCACAACUGCAGGAAGUCACAUUUUGAGACCCAGCUAUGAAGCUAUUCGAAUGGCCUGAAGAUAUAUCCCACAUCAAAUGGCUGACCUCCUGCACUCCAAUGCUGCAGAUCACGCCAGACUGCUGUAUUGCACAAUUCUGCAGUAGCUGUGGUUUCCAAAGAAAACAUUCCAGGAGACUGCAUCACACUGGUUAAUAUAGCAAAAAAGAGUGUGCUUUUUCUUAUUCCUGAAAUUUAAUGAAUAAAACAAGGUAAU
rnacentral:lncRNA from 1 species